rnacentral:rRNA from 1 species
GUAGUCAUAUGCUUGUCUCAAAGAUUAAGCCAUGCAUGUCUAAGUAUAAGCAAUUAUACCGUGAAACUGCGAAUGGCUCAUUAAAUCAGUUAUCGUUUAUUUGAUAAUACCUUACUACUUGGAUAACCGUGGUAAUUCUAGAGCUAAUACAUGCUGAAAAUCCCGACUUCGGAAGGGAUGUGUUUAUUAGAUAAAAAACCAACGCGGUUUGCCGCUCCCUUGGUGAUUCAUAAUAACUUUUCGAAUCGCACGGCCUUGCGCCGGCGAUGCUUCAUUCAAAUAUCUGCCCUAUCAAGUUUAGAUGGUAGGAUAGAGGCCUACCAUGCUUUCAACGGGUAACGGGGAAU